rnacentral:scRNA from 1 species
GGGCUGAUGACGCCUACUUCACCACAAAAGGGUGGGAAGUAUGGCGCCAAAUGAAGCUCAG